UACAGAGGGGGCAAGCGUUGUUCGGAAUUACUGGGCGUAAAGGGCGCGUAGGCGGCCUUCUAAGUCGAACGUGAAAUCCCUGGGCUCAACCCAGGAACUGCGUCCGAUACUGAAAGGCUUGAAUCCGGGAGAGGGAUGCGGAAUUCCAGGUGUAGCGGUGAAAUGCGUAGAUAUCUGGAGGAACACCGGUGGCGAAGGCGGUUCUCUGGGCAUGUCCUGACGCUGAGGAGCGAAAGUGUGGGGAGCGAACAGG
rnacentral:rRNA from 1 species